AGCCACGCCUUUGUUAAUGUUCAGCAUGCAUGCGUCGAGCAGGUCAGCUCUCUCAACUCAACUACUCGAGUGAAUGCUUGAAUGAAUGAGAGCAAAACAAGAAAAGGAAACUUGAAGAAAUGGCAGGAGGUCCAUUACUGAAGAUAUGGAAGCUGGGGAGUCCGGCUACUGGAAUUGAUAGAAAUAAAUGAAAACAAACUAUAUGAAUGAAUUUAAAAUUGAAGAAAAACUAGGCUAAAGAUAUUUGGAUUUCUGUCGUUAAGAAAGCAAUAUCAAAUGGAAAUCUCCUACACAUCACCUGUGCAGGAAGAUUGGGGCAGCUGUGAUAGUUAUAACAGUUGUGGCUGUUGAAGAAAGGAAAAGAAUAAUUUUAUUUAUUUAAUGUAUAGUACAUACACUUUUAUUAUUGUUUUUAACUAUUACUUAUUCAAUACCAUAGCAAUCAUAAAUGGUGCCAUUUUAUACCAGUUUAGUAAUACUUUUUUAUUCACACUUUUUAA